AUUGAACGCUGGCGGCAUGCUUUACACAUGCAAGUCGAACGGUAACAGGCCGCAAGGUGCUGACGAGUGGCGAACGGGUGAGUAAUGCAUCGGAACGUGCCCAGUCGUGGGGGAUAACGCAGCGAAAGCUGUGCUAAUACCGCAUACGAUCUAUGGAUGAAAGCGGGGGACCGUAAGGCCUCGCGCGAUUGGAGCGGCCGAUGUCAGAUUAGGUAGUUGGUGGGGUAAAGGCCCACCAAGCCAACGAUCUGGAGCUGGUCUGAGAGGACGACCAGCAACACUGGGACGGAGAGACGGCUCAGACGCCUACGGGAGGCAGCAAUGGGGAAUUUUGGACAAUGGGCGCAAGCGUGAUCCAGCAAUGCCGCGUGCAGGAAGAAGGCCUUCGGGUUGUAAACUGCUUUUGUACGGAACGAAACGGUCCGGGUUAAUACCCUGGGCUAAUGACGGUACCGUAAGAAUAAGCACCGGCUAACUACGUGCCAGCCGCCGCCGUAACAC
rnacentral:rRNA from 1 species